CGGAUGCGAUCAUACCAGCACUAAAGCACCGGAUCCCAUCUGAACUCCGAAGUUAAGCGUGCUUGGGCGAGAGUAGUACUAGGAUGGGUGACCUCCUGGGAAGUCCUCGUGUUGCAUCCCUC
rnacentral:rRNA from 1 species